rnacentral:rRNA from 1 species
UACGGGGGGGGUAAGCGUUGUUCGGAAUUACUGGGCGUAAAGGGCUCGUAGGCGGCCAACUAAGUCAUACGUGAAAUCCCUCAGCUUAACUGGGGAACUGCGUGUGAUACUGGAUGGCUUGGAUUUGGGAGAGGGAUGCGGAAUUCCAGGUGUAGCGGUGAAAUGCGUAGAUAUCUGGAGGAACACCGGUGGCGAAGGCGGCAUCCUGGACCAAUAUUGACGCUGAGGAGCGAAAGCCAGGGGAGCAAGCGGG